rnacentral:rRNA from 1 species
UACGUAGGGUGCGAGCGUUAAUCGGAAUUACUGGGCGUAAAGCGUGCGCAGGCGGUUUUGUAAGUCUGUCGUGAAAUCCCCGGGCUCAACCUGGGAAUUGCAUCUGUGACUGCAUAGCUAGAGUACGGUAGAGGGGGAUGGAAUUCCGCGUGUAGCAGUGAAAUGCGUAGAUAUGCGGAGGAACACCGAUGGCGAAGGCAAUCCCCUGGACCUGUACUGACGCUCAUGCACGAAAGCGUGGGGAGCAAACAGG